GACGAACGCUGGCGGCGUGCCUAACACAUGCAAGUUGAGCGACGAACCAGGGCUUGCCCUGGGGCAAAGCAGCGAACGGGUGAGUAACACGUGGGUAACCUACCCCGAUAACCGGGACAACCCGAGGAAACUCGGGCUAAUACCGGAUGUGCUCACUGGACUUCGGUUCAGUGCGUAAAGGAAGCUUCGGCCUCCGUAUCGGGAGGGGCCCGCGGCCCAUUAGUUUGUUGGUGAGGUAACGGCUCACCAAGACCGCGAUGGGUAGCUGGUCUGAGAGGACGAUCAGCCACACUGGGACUGAGACACGGCCCAGACUCCUACGGGAGGCAGCAGUGGGGAAUCUUGCGCAAAGCGCGAAAGCGUGACGCAGCAACGCCGCGUGGGGGAAGAAGGCCUUCGGGUUGUAAACCCCUUUCAGGAGGGACGAAGGUGCGGCGGUGAAUAGCCGUCCGGACUGACGGUACCUCCACAAGAAGCCCCGGCUAACUACGUG
rnacentral:rRNA from 1 species